AGAACGAACGCUGGCGGCAUGCCUAACACAUGCAAGUCGAACGAGACCUUCGGGUCUAGUGGCGCACGGGUGCGUAACGCGUGGGAAUCUGCCCUUGGGUUCGGGAUAACAGUUGGAAACGACUGCUAAUACCGGAUGAUGACUUCGGUCCAAAGAUUUAUCGCCCAAGGAUGAGCCCGCGUAGGAUUAGCUUGUUGGUGAGGUAAGAGCUCACCAAGGCGACGAUCCUUAGCUGGUCUGAGAGGAUGAUCAGCCACACUGGGACUGAGACACGGCCCAGACUCCUACGGGAGGCAGCAGUGGGGAAUAUGGACAAUGGGCGAAAGCCUGAUCCAGCAAUGCCGCGUGAGUGAUGAAGGCCUUAGGGUGUAAAGCUCUUUUACCCGGGAUGAUAAUGACAGUACCGGAGAAGUAAAGCCCCGGAUAACUCCCGGUAGCCCAGCCAGCCGC
rnacentral:rRNA from 1 species